rnacentral:snoRNA from 1 species
UUCUGCGUGAUGAAGAAAAUUGUUUGAAUUCCACUGAUAUUUCAUGAUUAUCACAACCAGCUACUUCAGACAGAC